GAUCAACGCUGGCGGCGUGCUUAACACAUGCAAGUCGAACGAAGUUUUUCCUUCGGGAGACACUUAGUGGCGGACGGGUGAGUAACGCGUGGGUAACCUGCCCUGUACAGGGGGACAACAGCUGUAAACGGCUGCUAAUACCGCAUAAGCCCUUAGCACUGCAUGGUGCAUAGGGAAAAGGAGCAAUCCGGUACAGGAUGGACCCGCGUCUGAUUAGCCAGUUGGCAGGGUAACGGCCUACCAAAGCGACGAUCAGUAGCCGAUCUGAGAGGAUGUACGGCCACAUUGGGACUGAGACACGGCCCAGACUCCUACGGGAGGCAGCAGUGGGGAAUAUUGCACAAUGGAGGAAACUCUGAUGCAGCGACGCCGCGUGAGUGAAGAAGUAUUUCGGUAUGUAAAGCUCUAUCAGCAGGGAAGAAAAUGACGGUACCUGACGAAGAAGCACCGGCUAAAUACGUG
rnacentral:rRNA from 1 species